UGAAGACCAGAAGAUGGAGUAAUAGCUCCAUAAAGUUAUUCCUUACUAAAAAUGACCAGCAGAUGGCAAUAGUAAAUCUAGAAAUACGUUUUUGAUUUUUAAUCUAACAUUGUAAUCGUUUUAAUUAAACCAGUCAAUAAUUACUGAACAAGUUUUACUGAUCUUUCUAAAUAACUGAACAUUCGUGAAUGGUGUAGGAUGUAAAAUUGUCACCAAACUAAAACUCGUUUAAUUGGCCAAUGAAGUUUCAAUCCAUCAAUCAACUUUAUCGUUAUGGUAAGCCGACAUGAUUUGAAAAUGUAAGCUAUCAACUCUGAUUAUUGGAAGGAAAGGCUAACAAAAAUUUGUCGCUGUGAUUAAAUACACAUUUCAUUGCGUAUGGCUCUUUUUUUCGCCGUGGAUUAAACUUGAUUUUGGUUUGAGGACACAGAUGAUGAAAAGAUAAAGGUGAUGAUACCGAUGAUCCAUCAUCGGGGUGACAUGGAGCAUCAUGUAUUAAUAAUAGCAACAAUAGUCUUGUAACAAUUAACUUUCAACAACAACAUAUUGAAUUAUUUACUUUUGGUAACAACAAAGAUUAGACUAAACAGAUACAAGAUGUAAAAGGAGGAAAAAAAGAAAAGACGACUAACCCAGACCGACUAUUAAAGCCUUAAAAAGCGGAAUAUUUACCAUAAUGGGAUAAUAUUGGAAGAUGGUAAAAGCUCAAGAGAGAAACAUAUCAGUUAUUCACAUUCAAAUUAACUUUCAUCAUCUACUAAUAUAUAUAAUCAAAAAGAUAAACUUCUUUAACAUGAUAAAAAUGAUGAUAAUACAUUACCACAGAUUAUCAAUGGAUAGUUCGUGUUUGGUGUUAUUGUAAAAGUUAAAGAUGAUAAUGGCCAUGAUGAUGAUGAUCAAAGGAUCACAUAGAUUAACAAAUAACGUAACAGUGUAAAAUACAUAAAGAAAAAAAAAGAUGAAAAAAAGGAAGGAGAAGAGCAAAAAGGAACAAAUCUCGGAUUACAGAAGAAAACAAGUUAUCAUCUUUCCUCUUCCGUUUUGCUUCAUUUUCUUUCUGUUGUCAAGAAGCAAUAAAAAAACAAAUUGCUUAUUACAAGCUAAAUCCUCCUAAUGCAACAAAUCGUAUGGUAAUUCAAUUUGAUAAUCAAGCGACAAUCGUUCACCUUACAAGAAAAAAGAGCCUUGGUAUAAAUGGAUUUACAUUCAAGUACAAAACCAAAAAGAGGUCCAACAUUAGUGUUAAUUGGAUGCAUCUCAAUUUGUUUAUCCAAUCAAAGAGACUAAUUAAAGUUAAUUAUGAUGCCAUGUAAAAAGAAGCUGGAAAGAUGCAACUCAAAUGGAUAAGAUGAAAUUAACAUCAUAAACUUGAGCCUGUAUAGGUAUACUUGGUUUGAUUGGAAGGCCUAUACAAUGCUUCAUGUAGCUGUUCAAUUUUGGCUGAACAAUUUCAAUGGGUAAUCUUGAAGGAGAGAAAGGUGUAUAACAGGAAAAGCAAAAAGAAGGAGAAAUAAAAAAAAAGAUCACUUGAGUAAACUCAAGUCUUUCAAAUCACACGCACACCAAAAUGGCGAGGAAAUGUUGAAGCAGAAAAGUACAACAAGUCGAAAGGAAAGGAAAAAAAUACAUAACAAGACUUAACAACGGCAAAAACAUCAACACAAAACCAGCUUUGGAAAUGCAACUGUAUUCACUUCCUGGGAUGCUUUUGGUCAUCAUCUUGCACAUCUAAUUUGCAUUAUGGCUAUCAACACCAUCAUCGUCAUCAUUUUAAACACUGCAAACACUUUCACGGUCAAUUGGUAAAAGGUACACAAAGGUUAAAGGUUUUUGCUUCCCUCUUCACUCUCUCUGUAUAUAUAUACAUGCGAAAUGUCAGCCAAAUGAGAAGAGGAAGACAAAAAAAAGAGUGAAAAAGGUUUCCUCCUCUAUUGGAUUAACUGUAAAUUGGAGUCAAAAGGAAAGGGUAAAAUCAAUUGUAAUCCAAUUGAACUUUAACCCUCAACUGACCUUUCCCUUAACCCAUUAACAUUAUUAUUUAUCAUUGGCAAUUGGCUUCAAUUGUUCAUUCAAAUUUGGAUUCUUCAUCGGUUUGAAAUGGAAACAAAAAGUUGAAAGUUCAAUCUUUUAUUGUUUCAAUUUCAAGCAAAUCAAGUUGAUUCAGUUAUCGAUAGAGAUUGAAUCAAUAUUGAAUUGUCAGAUUAAAAUGAGUUUCACUUGGUUUCGUCAAUGUUGCUCUGAAAUUGGUUGAAAGCUGAUUCAAUCAACUCGACUAGAUUGAAACAUGAAUUGAUGAUUCUUUUCUUGUUAAUCGAUGCAAUUCACUUGAAAAUAAUGUUUAUGAGCUUUAAAUGAUGAUUUGCAAAGCUAAUUAUCAAGAAAAAGAAGAAUAAAAAUACUAAUCAUUUACAGAAAUGAUCACAAAUAAUCAACAAUAAAAACCAAUCCAAUAAAAGACUAACCUAAUAAAUGAGAUUGAAAAUGAAACAUUGAGAGCAAAUUUACUUUAUUACAGAAGAAUUCCAAGUUUUCUUCAAUUUCUAACCUUGGCUCUAGAUUCCCAUCAUUU